rnacentral:rRNA from 1 species
AGCCUUCGGGCUUAGCGGCGAACGGGUGAGUAACGCGUGGGAACGUGCCCUUCUCUACGGAAUAGUCCCGGGAAACUGGGUUUAAUACCGUAUACGCCCUUCGGGGGAAAGAUUUAUCGGAGAAGGAUCAGCCCGCGUCUGAUUAGGUAGUUGGUGGGGUAAUGGCCUACCAAGCCUACGAUCAGUAGCUGGUUUGAGAGGAUGAUCAGCCACACUGGGACUGAGACACGGCCCAGACUCCUACGGGAGGCAGCAGUAGGGAAUCUUAGACAAUGGGGGAAACCCUGAUCUAGCCAUGCCGCGUGUGUGACGAAGGCCUUAGGGUCGUAAAGCACUUUCGCCAGGGAUGAUAAUGACAGUACCUGGUAAAGAAACCCCGGCUAACUCCGUGCCAGCAGCCGCGGUAAUACGGAGGGGGUUAGCGUUGUUCGGA